rnacentral:rRNA from 1 species
UACGUAGGGCGCAAGCGUUAUCCGGAAUUAUUGGGCGUAAAGAGCUCGUAGGCGGUUUGUCGCGUCUGCCGUGAAAGUCCGGGGCUCAACUCCGGAUCUGCGGUGGGUACGGGCAGACUAGAGUGAUGUAGGGGAGACUGGAAUUCCUGGUGUAGCGGUGAAAUGCGCAGAUAUCAGGAGGAACACCGGUGGCGAAGGCGGUUCUCUGGGCAUUACCUGACGCUGAGGAGCAAAAGUGUGGGGAGCGAACAGG